UUAAUUAUUUAUAAUUAUUAUUUAAUUCAAUUAUUUCAGCAAGGUGCCUAAACAGGUGAUUAAGUCUACAUUUUCUGGCCUCCUGAUGUGAGAAGUAAUACUGAUGUCGACUCUGGAGAAUGGAGGCAUGGUGAAGGUUCCUCUGGUGAGCGCCUGCCCUUUGGUGACCUUGUCCAUCUGAGGCAUCUGCGGCUCAGUGGAGCGUUUCCUGGCCGUCUCAUGCUCUAUCAGUCCCAAUGAAGGAACACAGCACCAGACCGGACCCGCAUGGCAAUAAGGGGUGCUGGAGUCAACCCGAUCCGACAGCCUAGCUCACCCCUCUGGUCUAAGGGUCAACGCUGGGGUCAUUCAGCACCUAGAGUCACCCUGGGUAAUUCUGGAUGCACUCAUGAUAUGAAGACUCCCUUGAUGUCCUUUCGAUUGGCAUUAUAUGCAAGGACAGGUUUAAUCAAAAGUGCAGGGAACAGGAGUCAUUCUGCCCUCAGUUCCUGCUGAAGACAGCCAUCAGACACAACAGGGUGAUGCUGGGUACAGUUGCCAUGGAAAUCCAAGUUCGGAGACCACAUGCCACAAGGUUCAGUGGCUCAAAAAAUCUCAAAUGAACUGAUGCAACAAUCUGCACACAAUUAACUCUCGCACUGCUUUUUCAGCUGUUUGCUUUGUAAAUGAAUGCCUUAUAUUUCAGUUCUGUUCCCCCUAGUUUACUAUAUACUUUUCUAAACUACUAUUCUUGAGGCAUACAGCUGCAUUUUAUGUUACUGUACACUAAAUCUUGGUUAUAUACAGAUGUUAUUUUCAUUGCUAAUCGUUGAACUGUUUCUUUUUUCACUGAGGUAUCAGUGUUCGGCUGAUGAGCUGGUAUGUAGAUGUCCACAGCCAAUUCAUGAAGUAGCCAUGCAUUCUUACAAUAUUAAAUAUUUUGCCCAGUAAACAUAUAAAUCAUUAUUUCUUUACACUUUAGUAGACGACUUAUAUUUGACGUCACAGCUCAGGAUAGUUGCUAGUGAAGGGCUUGGGAUGAGACUGAGAUAAAUGGGAAUGUUAUACUGUAGAUAUACAGUAUAGAGGUUUUAUUAUAGAAGGUGUUGUCCUCAGUGCACAGUUGUGCAAAUAUGUCAAACUCUGCCCCCUAGUGGUGGACUGUGAUAUGGGUGUUAAUGUUUGAGAAGAGGGAUGGUUCACUUUCACUGCUGUAAUAUGUUAUGUAAUUUAAAACACUUCGAUUGAUCGAUUGACUUCGACUAAUUGCUCUAAAAGACAAACCUUGAGACUGUAUUGCUUUCGGUGAUCAUUUGUGCUUUUUGAUUUGUUUGAUGUUUAUUUCCGCAAACUCCAUGCAAUAUUUUUGCACAGUGAGGUCAGGCCCUAAUUAUUAGAGUGAACAAAUGUUAUGGUGACCAGAUUAAAAAAAAAAAAAAGGAAAUCUUGGACAUUUCCUAUUCGGUGGUCAAAAUAUCAAAAUGCACUUUUGUAUGUAUUGUAUUUAAUAUUUUCA
ensembl:lncRNA